GGAAUUNCUGGGCGUAAAGCGGGCGCAGACGGUUACUUAAGCAGGAUGUGAANUCCCCGGGCUCAACCUGGGAACUGCGUUNUGAACUGGGUGACUAGAGUGCGUCAGAGGGAGGUAGAAUUCCACGUGUAGCAGUGAAAUGCGUAGAGAUGUGGAGGAAUACCGAUGGCAAAGGCAGCCUCCUGGGAUAACACUGACGUUCAUGCCCGAAAGCGUGGGUAGCAAACAGGAUUAGAUACCCUGGUAGUCCACGCCCUAAACGAUGUCGAUUAGCUGUUGGGCAGCAUGACUGCUUAGUAGCGAAGCUAACGCGUGAAAUCGACCGCCUGGGGAGUACGGUCGCAAGAUUAAAACUCAAAAGAAUUGACGGGGACCCGCACAAGCGGUGGAUGAUGUGGAUUAAUUCGAUGCAACGCGAAGAACCUUACCUGGUCUUGACAUGUACGGAACCCUCCAGAGACGGAGGGGUGCCUUCGGGAGCCGUAACACAGGUGCUGCAUGGCUGUCGUCAGCUCGUGUCGUGAGAUGUUGGGUUAAGUCCCGCAACGAGCGCAACCCUUGUCAUUAGUUGCCAUCAUUAAGUUGGGCACUCUAAUGAGGCUGCCGGUGACAAGCCGGAGGAAGGUGGGGAUGACGUCAAGUCCUCAUGGCCCUUAUGACCAGGGCUUCACACGUCAUACAAUGGUCGGUACAGAGGGUAGCCAAGCCGCGAGGUGGAGCCAAUCUCACAAAACCGAUCGUAGUCCGGAUUGCACUCUGCAACUCGAGUGCAUGAAGUCGGAAUCGCUAGUAAUCGCAGGUCAGCAUACUGCGGUGAAUACGUUCCCGGGUCUUGUACACACCGCC
rnacentral:rRNA from 1 species